rnacentral:rRNA from 1 species
UACGAAGGGGGCUAGCGUUGCUCGGAAUCACUGGGCGUAAAGGGUGCGUAGGCGGGUCUUUAAGGCAGAGGUGAAAUCCUGGAGCUCAACUCCAGAACUGCCUUUGAUACUGAAGGUCUUGAGUUCGGGAGAGGUGAGUGGAACUGCGAGUGUAGAGGUGAAAUUCGUAGAUAUUCGCAAGAACACCAGUGGCGAAGGCGGCUCACUGGCCCGAUACUGACGCUGAGGCACGAAAGCGUGGGGAGCAAACAGG